rnacentral:rRNA from 1 species
CCUACGGGAGGCAGCAGUGGGGAAUAUUGGGCAAUGGAGGCAACUCUGACCCAGCAACGCCGCGUGAAUGAUGAAGGUCUUCGGAUUGUAAAGUUCUGUGAUGGGGGAUGAACACAAUGACGGUACCCCAAUAGCAAGCCACGGCUAACUACGUGCCAGCAGCCGCGGUAAUACGUAGGUUGCAAGCGUUAUCCGGAAUGACUGGGCGUAAAGGGUGCGUAGGUGGUUUAGGAAGUUGGCGGUGUAAUUCCGGGGCUCAACCUCGGCGCUACCGCCAAAACUAUUAGACUAGAGUGCAGGGGGGGUAAGUGGAAUUCCUAGUGUAGCGGUGGAAUGCGUAGAUAUUAGGAGGAACAUCAAGUGCGAAGGCGACUUACUGGACUGUAACUGACACUGAGGCACGAAAGCGUGGGGAGCAAACAGGAUUAGAUACCCCUGUAGUC